rnacentral:lncRNA from 1 species
UGGAUUACAGCAAAUGAAUCGAGUGAAAAAAUGGAAUUAACUGAUCAUAAUUACCGAUUAACCCACUUUAAGAAAAAAAAAACCUACAACAAAAGACAGAGGACACGACCAUUCCAAGCAGGCGCCACCACCUCUCAUCUCCUGACCACCAGCAACAGCGGUACAGGCACUCCUCAAAUUUCUCCCGCUCAAGCAACACCAUCUCGACAGCAACUCUUUAAGACAUCGGGGAGCGCGACCUGUAUAAAUCAUCCAGCGAUACGCCGAGGUUGUUGAGGUGCUGAGAUAAGCAACCACAACUGACACGCUGGGAGUCUGGGACCGUAUGUAUAAAAUCUCAUUUCCUAGCCA